rnacentral:misc_RNA from 1 species
AAGUCGUAACAAGGUUUCCGUAGGUGAACCUGCGGAAGGAUCAUUAAUGAUUUUAGCUAACCUUGGCUAUUUUAGCCAUGGUUAUGCGAAAUUUUGUAUUUAAAACCCCACUCUUAUAAUAUAAAUUUAUUAUAUUUAUGAUAAAAAUAAGAUCACUUUCAACAACGGAUCUCUUGGUUCUC